GUGCUCACUUCGGGAGCACAUAAGCUAACAUUGGAAUGAUACAGAGAAGAUUAGCAUGGCCCCUGCACAAGGAUGACACACAAAUUUGUGAGGUGUUCCAUAUUUUU